rnacentral:rRNA from 1 species
UGCUAAGAGAUCAGCCUAUGUCCUAUCAGCUUGUUGGUAAGGUAAUGGCUUACCAAGGCUAUGACGGGUAUCCGGCCUGAGAGGGUGAACGGACACACUGGAACUGAGACACGGUCCAGACUCCUACGGGAGGCAGCAGUAGGGAAUAUUGCUCAAUGGGGGAAACCCUGAAGCAGCAACGCCGCGUGGAGGAUGAAGGUUUUAGGAUUGUAAACUCCUUUUGUUAGAGAAGAUAAUGACGGUAUCUAACGAAUAAGCACCGGCUAACUCCGUGCCAGCAGCCGCGGUAAUACGGAGGGUGCAAGCGUUACUCGGAAUCACUGGGCGUAAAGAGCGCGUAGGCGGGAUAGUCAGUCAGGUGUGAAAUCCUAUGGCUUAACCAUAGAACUGCAUUUGAAACUACUAUUCUAGAGUGUGGGAGAGGUAGGUGGAAUUCUUGGUGUAGGGGUAAAAUCCGUAGAGAUCAAGAGGAAAACUUCAUGCAAGGCACCCU